CUCAGAUUGAACGCUGGCGGCAGGCCUAACACAUGCAAGUCGAGCGGAAACGAGUUAACUGAACCUUCGGGGAACGUUAACGGCGUCGAGCGGCGGACGGGUGAGUAAUGCCUGGGAAAUUGCCCUGAUGUGGGGGAUAACCAUUGGAAACGAUGGCUAAUACCGCAUAAUAGCUUCGGCUCAAAGAGGGGGACCUUCGGGCCUCUCGCGUCAGGAUAUGCCCAGGUGGGAUUAGCUAGUUGGUGAGGUAAGGGCUCACCAAGGCGACGAUCCCUAGCUGGUCUGAGAGGAUGAUCAGCCACACUGGAACUGAGACACGGUCCAGACUCCUACGGGAGGCAGCAGUGGGGAAUAUUGCACAAUGGGCGCAAGCCUGAUGCAGCCAUGCCGCGUGUAUGAAGAAGGCCUUCGGGUUGUAAAGUACUUUCAGCAGUGAGGAAGGUGGUAGUGUUAAUAGCAYUAUCAUUUGACGUUAGCUGCAGAAGAAGCACCGGCUAACUCCGUGCCAGCAGCCGCGGUAAUACGGAGGGUGCGAGCGUUAAUCGGAAUUACUGGGCGUAAAGCGCAUGCAGGUGGUUUGUUAAGUCAGAUGUGAAAGCCCGGGGCUCAACCUCGGAAUUGCAUUUGAAACUGGCAGACUAGAGUACUGUAGAGGGGGGUAGAAUUUCAGGUGUAGCGGUGAAAUGCGUAGAGAUCUGAAGGAAUACCGGUGGCGAAGGCGGCCCCCUGGACAGAUACUGACACUCAGAUGCGAAAGCGUGGGGAGCAAACAGGAUUAGAUACCCUGGUAGUCCACGCCGUAAACGAUGUCUACUUGGAGGUUGUGGCCUUGAGCCGUGGCUUUCGGAGCUAACGCGUUAAGUAGACCGCCUGGGGAGUACGGUCGCAAGAUUAAAACUCAAAUGAAUUGACGGGGGCCCGCACAAGCGGUGGAGCAUGUGGUUUAAUUCGAUGCAACGCGAAGAACCUUACCUACUCUUGACAUCCAGAGAACUUUCCAGAGAUGGAUUGGUGCCUUCGGGAACUCUGAGACAGGUGCUGCAUGGCUGUCGUCAGCUCGUGUUGUGAAAUGUUGGGUUAAGUCCCGCAACGAGCGCAACCCUUAUCCUUGUUUGCCAGCGAGUAAUGUCGGGAACUCCAGGGAGACUGCCGGUGAUAAACCGGAGGAAGGUGGGA
rnacentral:rRNA from 1 species